AUCUAGAAAAGCUGCUACAACCGAUUGAUUAUCAGAAAAAGCAAGCCGGAUAUCUGUAAUGAGUAUACUGAUACUAUCCAUGGUACUUUUUCCCUUUCUAAAACCAAAUUGACUAUCGGCAAGCAAAUCAUUACAUUCAAGAAACCAUUCGAGUCGAUUUUUAAUUAAGUGUUCAGCUAGUUUUAUUAAUACUGAGGAAAGAACUAUUGGUCGAUACGAAGAUGGGUCUGACGGGGACUUAUUUGGUUUAGGGAUUGGCAACACUUUUUGAAACUUCCAUGACAGAGGGACGUCACUACCUGUCAUCGCAAUUGAAUUGAUGAUUUCCAAAUAAUAUGAGAGUACUUGAUCAUCUAAGUUAUGAAAGAAGGAAUAUGGGAUACCAUCUGCACCUGGAGACGAAUCAGAAACGUUUUGUAUGAUUCCCUUAAGUUCAAACAGUGAAAAUGGCCGGUCAAUGGCAGACACAGGGUCUGGGACUGGCGAAGUUAGGGUUAGAGGACAACACGUCUGCAUAGGACUUUGCGGCUGGAGGGUGAAUCUUGGAAGCCUCUGCAUAUGAGAUGGAAUUUUCAGCCAUAUAAGACUUAAUUUUUUUCUGACGGAUGAAUUCUGGGCAUGACUUGCUAGUUGCAAAGUGGAAACCGGAGCAAAGACAACAGGAAGCUUGGUCUUCAUAAACAGAGCACGAAUCUCCCAUGUGGGCCUGCCCACACUUAAAACAGCGAGGCUGGGACCUACAUUGGGCCUUUGUAUGACCAAAUCGGCAACAAUUAAAACAUUGUACUGUAGGGAAGAUAUACAAUUCAACUGGUAAAGCAUUGUAGCAAAUAAAUACUCUUUUUGGUAAGGUUUGUCCGUCAAAUGUUACAACAACUGAUUGAGAGGGUUUCCAAGAAACUGAACCAUUAUUAAAAGAUUUAAAAUUCA